AACUUUAUAGUCAAUGAUGAUAUUAGACUGCAAUUCUAAAGGAGUAUUAAUAAAUUUACUAAAGUUU
rnacentral:tRNA from 1 species